CAGAAAUUGAAAAAUGUUGUGUCACUUCCUUGAUGAGAGAUGAGAAAUCUACUGUCAUUUGAAAUGUUUUCCCCGAUAGACUUAUUCUCAGUUCAUGCCUCAUGACCAGAAUUGAUUGAUUGCCUCCCAAGUGAAGAGCCUCCGCCUGCAUGUCUUACUGCACCCACUUCCUCUCUCAGCACUGCUCCCCCAAAUGCUGGUCUGUCUCUGGUAGGUUCUGGCUCUGCCCCUCCCCACCUCAGUGCUCCGUUUCUCUGUCUCUCAAAACAAAUAAACUUAAAAAAGUUAUAUAUAA